GACCAUCCUGGAGCCCCUGUGUGGUGCGGUUUGGAGUCAGCGCCUCUUGACAGAGCUCAUCACCACGUGAGGACCCAGCUUUGUUUCCCAGCACCCACAUGGAAACUCACAACCAGCUGUAACUCCAGCUCCAGGGGAUCCAAGGUCUUCUGACCUCCUCAAGAACCAGGACUACUCUGUAUGGAGAUGAGGCCGGCAAGCCAGCACUGUUACAUCAGGACUGAUGGAGGCAGCAUGGAAAUGAAGAGACCAGCCUGUACAGAGCAGAUGUGCAGGCCAUUUCAUCAGAACAGUGAAAGGGCAGUGGUCUCUCCAUAGAGUGGGUACGCGCACCUUGGUACAAUCAGAUCAAGAGUCUUAGGGAACAGAAAAGGGAGCUUUGGGGAUGGAAGAUUCCAUGUACAGGUCUGAUGUCUGGUUCCCUUCGUCUCAAAGUAAUAAAUACUAAAGGAGGUUAGUAUAUUGGUCUUUUGUCAGAAGCUUCCUGAAUCCUAACAGCCCAUGUCUUUCCUGUCCAGAGUUUCUCAGCCUACCUGAGGUUUUGGGCUACUUAACCCUUUGAACAUAAUUAUUUUAGCAACCUGG